GAUAAACGCUGGCGGCGUGCCUUACGCAUGCAAGUCGCACGGACACUUCGGUGUCAGUGGCGGACGGGUGAGUAACACGUACGUGACCUGUCCCGAACUGGGGGAUAACCGCCCGAAAGGGUGGCUAAUACCGCAUGUGCCCGCCGGGUUGCGGCCCGGUGAGUAAAGCUCCGGCGGUUCGGGAGGGGCGUGCGGCCGAUUAGCUAGUUGGUGGGGUAACGGCCUACCAAGGCCGCGAUCGGUAGCUGGUCUGAGAGGACGGCCAGCCACACGGGGA
rnacentral:rRNA from 1 species